CCUACGGGAGGCAGCAGUGAGGAAUAUUGGUCAAUGGCCGUAAGGCUGAACCAGCCAAGUCGCGUGAAGGAAGAAGGAUCUAUGGUUUGUAAACUUCUUUUAUAGGGGAAUAAAGGUAUCCACGUGUGGAUAUUUGCAUGUACCCUAUGAAUAAGCAGCGGCUAACUCCGUGCCAGCAGCCGCGGUAAUACGGAGGAUGCGAGCGUUAUCCGGAUUUAUUGGGUUUAAGGGGUGAGUAGGUUGUUUUUUAAGUCAGCGGUGAAAGUUUGUGGCUCAACCAUAAAAUUGCCGUUGAAACUGGAAGACGUGAGUGUGUUUGAGGUAGGCGGAAUGCGUGGUGUAGCGGUGAAAUGCAUAGAUAUCACGCAGAACUCCGAUUGCGAAGGCAGCUUACUAAGCCAUAACUGACACUGAAGCACGAAAGCGUGGGGAUCAAACAGGAUUAGAUACCCGGGUAGUC
rnacentral:rRNA from 1 species